rnacentral:miRNA from 1 species
AGUGACAGAUCAUCAGUGCGCGAGA